GACGUAGGGUGCGAGCGUUGUCCGGAAUUAUUGGGCGUAAAGAGCUCGUUAGGCGGUGUGUCGCGUCGGCCGUGAAAACCUGCAGCUUAACUGUGGGCUUGCGGUCGAUACGGGCAUCACUGGAGGUUCGGCAGGGGAGACUGGAAUUCCGUGGUGAUAGCGGUGAAAUGCGGCAGAUAUCAGGAGGAACACCGGUGGCGAAGGCGGGUCUCUGGGCCGAUACUGACGCUGGAGGAAGCGAAAGCGUGGGGAGCAAACAGG
rnacentral:rRNA from 1 species